rnacentral:rRNA from 1 species
UACAGAGGUCCCAAGCGUUGUUCGGAUUCACUGGGCGUAAAGGGUGCGUAGGUGGUCGGGUAAGUCUGACGUGAAAUCCCGCAGCUCAACUGCGGAACUGCGUCGGAUACUAUUCGGCUUGAGGAAUGGAGGGGAGACUGGAAUUCUCGGUGUAGCAGUGAAAUGCGUAGAUAUCGAGAGGAACACCAGUGGCGAAGGCGAGUCUCUGGACAUUUCCUGACGCUGAGGCACGAAAGCCAGGGGAGCAAACGGG